rnacentral:lncRNA from 8 species
CGGACUUCCGACUUCAGUGCGUUCAAGACAUCUGGGAACUCGGAAUAAAACGAUGUCCGACUGGGAAAAAUCGCUUUGAUUUGCCUUGUUUCUUCAGUUCCCAGUUGUUUUGAAAGCACCAUGAACAUCAGAUGCAGGUACCACCAGUCCAGUAAAAUAAAAAGCACAUUAUUUGCAAAUUAUUUUGCUUUAAUGCUCAGCUGUGCCUUGCAAAUGCUACAUCAACUGAUCUAUUUUGUUAUCAAAGCUCGAGUUUUGAAAUAUAAUAUGGUCUGAGAAGAACAAUAUUGUCAGGACAGGCAUAUAGCCAAUAUGCUGUGAUAAUGUAUUAGGCAUACUGCACAAAACUAAUUCCUACAGAACUGGUUUUAUUAGGUUAAUGUAAAAACAUUUAAGUCAUGUUAAAAAUAAAAUCUGGGCAGUAGAUCUCAGCUUGCUGAUUGACUGCGAAAGUGAUCUUGACUCAGAAAAGGUUAGACCUACUGCACUUGGUGUGGACUAUGCAAAUUGCAGUUUGCUUCAACAAGCACAGGGUUCUAUAAUGAUAAACAUAUUAGGGAAUGAUGCACGUGGGCCUACAUCAUCACUUUGCAUAUCUACUUUUCAUAAUGUGGCCUCUCUGAUGCAAAUGGACAGGGGACGUUUUGGUUUACAGUUUCAUGUUUUCUAUGGCUCUCAAAAACAGCAUAUCAACCUGAAGUUACUCUCAGACUUACAAGUCUGCUCAGGAAUGGAUGGUGUGCUUCACCUCGCUUGCUGAUUCAUAUUUUGAUGAUACUUUCGAGGGAGACAAGGAAGAGAGGUUACAAAAUGAAGACUUUCAUUCUUUUAUAUUUUCUAGGACUAACUUGCAACAAGGUCUCUGCAAAUGACAACUCAACAAAAGUCUACUAUGUGGUACUGAGGACUGAGGCGUCCAUACCGGACAAUGUUACUGAUGCUAUACUCAAAUCUUUUAGAAUGGACAAUCCUGUGAGUGUUGACACCCUUAAAGUUACAACAGAUUGUGUCCCUGUUCAAAACAAAACUCUGUGCAAAUGCACACCAGGGCAUAUCUGGAGUGUUGCAGUGUGUCAGUCUUCACCUGACUGUUGUAAACAAAAAAACUGCACAUUUGAAACCACAAAAACAAACCCAAUGUGUCUCCCUGAAACAAGAGUUACUGUCACUGGACAACUUAACAUACCUGGAGAGGUAUAUUUUGAAAGUUACAGCAAUCCAAACUCUGUUGAAUAUCAAACGUUACUUGGAAAAUUAUUGCCAAUGCUGAAAAGGGUGUACAGUACAUUGAAUUCAUUUGACGACAUACGCAUCACAGGGUUCAGUCGUGGUAGUGUCAUCGUUGCUUUUGAGAUGAACCUCAACAACGUUUUAGCUGAUGUCCUUGCAAGAAAAACAGCAGAAUUGGAAAAAAUACUGAAUUCUACGUUCACGCUAGAGACAGCAGGCGUUGUUGAGAUCACAGUACCAGAAGGCCCGGUAAAAUAUGAUUCUAACCAGUCAAUUCUCUGCCAAACCAAGGACGACAUGAAACCAAUUGAAUGGGUUUUGAAAAGGAGUGAUAAUAAAACAUUUGACAUAACAACAGGUACUGAUGCUACAGUGAUGCCCACUAGCAAGAGCACUACAAUUUACCUCAAACACGCAACGGAGAUCUGGGAAGGGCUGUACACGUGUGUCUUCAAUCCAAUAUCAUCCAAUGUGACCAUAAACCACAAAGCCAGUGCAACGCUAGACAUAGCGCUCCUGCCACAAAUUGACAUUAGUAGCACGCCCCAAUUUCCAGACUGUUACAAGAUAGAUAAUGCAAAUUCUAGAAUCUUUGUCAGAGUUCAAUGUGAAAUUAAGAAUAGCACUGAAAACUAUACUGUGACAUGGAAUUCCACCAACACUGAAUCUCCAUUAAAUGAACAACAAGAUGUUACCAGUAAUGGCAUAAUUUACAGGAUUGAUACGACUGUCAGCUGCAACAGUUUACGAGAGCCAGCUGUAACAUGUACAUUUAUGAACAUCCUGUCCCAAGAGAAAAAUGCUACUGUCAAUAUCCCUGUUAUCUACAGUAAUUCAAAAUUUUGUCAAGCUGAAGGUGCCUGGUCAAACGCAAAGGCUGACUAUACGGCGGUGCUGAAGUGUAAAGAUGGUAUUGGGAAAACCCAGAGACGGUGUUCGAGUAAUGGAGUUUGGGAGGAGGAAAUAUCUAACUGUGUGAAUGUAGAUCUACAUGACAUCCUAAUUGAUUCACAGGUAUUAAAACAAAUCAUUUUUGAAGGGACAUUUAAAUUAAUUAUAUAUCAUGGGUCGUUCCACAAAAAGUGA